rnacentral:misc_RNA from 1 species
UCUCCGUUGGUGAACCAGCGGAGGGAUCAUUACCGAGUUUACAACUCCCAAACCCAAUGUGAACCAUACCAAACUGUUGCCUCGGCGGGGUCACGCCCCGGGUGCGUCGCAGCCCCGGAACCAGGCGCCCGCCGGAGGGACCAACCAAACUCUUUCUGUAGUCCCCUCGCGGACGUUAUUUCUUACAGCUCUGAGCAAAAAUUCAAAAUGAGUCAAAACUUUCAACAACGGAUCUCUUGGUUCUG